GGUUAAGCGACUAAGCGUACACGGUGGAUGCCCUGGCAGUCAGAGGCGAUGAAGGACGUGCUAAUCUGCGAAAAGCGCCGGCGAGGUGAUAUGAACCCUUGACCCGGCGAUGUCCGAAUGGGGAAACCCAGUGCAAUCCGUUGCACUAUCGUUAACUGAAUACAUAGGUUAACGAGGCGAACCGGGGGAACUGAAACAUCUAAGUACCCCGAGGAAAAGAAAUCAACCGAGAUUCCCCCAGUAGCGGCGAGCGAACGGGGAGCAGCCCGGAGUCUGAAUCAGCUUGUGUGUUAGUGGAACGGUCUGGAAAGUCCGACGGUACAGGGUGAUAGUCCCGUACACGAAAGCACACAUGCUGUGAACUCGAAGAGUAGGGCGGGACACGUGGUAUCCUGUCUGAAUAUGGGGGGACCAUCCUCCAAGGCUAAAUACUCCUGACUGACCGAUAGUGAACCAGUACCGUGAGGGAAAGGCGAAAAG
rnacentral:rRNA from 2 species